UACAGAGGUCUCAAGCGUUGUUCGGAUUCAUUGGGCGUAAAGGGUGCGUAGGCGGUCUGUUAAGUCAUGUGUGAAAUCCCUCGGCUCAACCGGGGAACGACGCAUGAAACUGACAAGCUAGAGUACCAAAGAGGGGGGGUGGAAUUCCUGGUGUAGCGGUGGAAUGCGCAGAUAUCAGGAGGAACACCAAUAGCGAAGGCAGCUCGCUGGGACGGUACUGACACUGAGGCGCGAAAGCGUGGGGAGCGAACAGG
rnacentral:rRNA from 1 species